rnacentral:rRNA from 1 species
CAUAACGACUCUCGGCAACGGAUAUCUCGGCUCUCGCAUCGAUGAAGAACGUAGCGAACUGCGAUACUUGGUGUGAAUUGCAGAAUCCCGUGAACCAUCGAGUCUUUGAACGCAAGUUGCGCCCGAAGCCAUUCGGUCGAGGGCACGUUU